GAGUACGGUCGCAAGAUUAAAACUCAAAGGAAUUGACGGGGACCCGCACAAGCGGUGGAUGAUGUGGAUUAAUUCGAUGCAACGCGAAGAACCUUACCUGGUCUUGACAUGUACGGAAUCCUCCAGAGACGGAGGAGUGCCUUCGGGAGCCGUAACACAGGUGCUGCAUGGCUGUCGUCAGCUCGUGUCGUGAGAUGUUGGGUUAAGUCCCGCAACGAGCGCAACCCUUGUCAUUAGUUGCCAUCAUUAAGUUGGGCACUCUAAUGAGACUGCCGGUGACAAGCCGGAGGAAGGUGGGGAUGACGUCAAGUCCUCAUGGCCCUUAUGACCAGGGCUUCACACGUCAUACAAUGGUCGGUACAGAGGGUAGCCAAGCCGCGAGGCGGAGCCAAUCUCACAAAACCGAUCGUAGUCCGGAUUGCACUCUGCAACUCGAGUGCAUGAAGUCGGAAUCGCUAGUAAUCGCAGGUCAGCAUACUGCGGUGAAUACGUUCCCGGGUCUUGUACACACCGCCCGUCACACCAUGGGAGUGGGGGAUACCAGAAGUAGGUAGGGUAACCGCAAGGAGCCCGCUUACCACGGUAUGCUUCAUGACUGGGGUGAAGUCGUAACAAGGUAACC
rnacentral:rRNA from 1 species